AUUUUAUCGAAUUUACUGUAUAGAUGAAAAAGUCUAUAAAUCCAAAAAAGACGAGAAGACCCUUAGAAUUUAAAUAAAACCGAAUAGUUUUUCGUAAUAUUUUUGUUGGGGCGACAAGAAGACAAUUAACUUUAACUCUUCUGAUAAUAUAAGACGAUUAGUAAUAAGGUCGGAUAAAUUACCUGAGGGAUAACAGCAUAAUUUUAUGAUUAAGUUUGUGACCUCGAUGUUGGACUAGGAAAUUAAUAGACUAGCCGUUUAUUAUAUUGGUUCUGUUCGAACUGUUUUUCCUACAUGAUCUGAGUUCAAACCGGAGA
rnacentral:rRNA from 1 species